CAAAGACUCUGAUAUCCACCUUUUCUCUUUUCUCCAAAUAUGCCUACUAAUUUAGACUGUGGGGAGGGACUUAAGAUAAGGGGGAGAUUGGAAGAGC